UACGUAGGGUGCGAGCGUUGUCCGGAAUUAUUGGGCGUAAAGAGCUCGUAGGCGGCUUGUCACGUCGGAUGUGAAAGCCCGGGGCUUAACUCCGGGUCUGCAUUCGAUACGGGCUGGCUAGAGUGUGGUAGGGGAGAUCGGAAUUCCUGGUGUAGCGGUGAAAUGCGCAGAUAUCAGGAGGAACACCGGUGGCGAAGGCGGAUCUCUGGGCCAUUACUGACGCUGAGGAGCGAAAGCGUGGGGAGCGAACAGG
rnacentral:rRNA from 1 species